UACGUAGGGAGCAAGCGUUGUCCGGAAUCAUUGGGCGUAAAGCGCGCGUAGGUGGCCUCAUAAGUCCGCUGUGAAAGUCAAAGGCUCAACCUUUGAAAGCCGGUGGAUACUGUGAGGCUAGAGUACGGAAGAGGCGAGUGGAAUUCCUGGUGUAGCGGUGGAAUGCGCAGAUAUCAGGAGGAACACCGGUGGCGAAGGCGGGACUCUGGGCCGAUACUGACGCUGAGGAGCGAAAGCGUGGGGAGCGAACAGG
rnacentral:rRNA from 1 species